GAUGACCUCGAUUCAAGUAGG
rnacentral:rRNA from 1 species